GAGUUUGAUCCUGGCUCAGAUUGAACGCUGGCGGCAUGCCUUACACAUGCAAGUCGAACGGCAGCACGGGAGCUUGCUCCUGGUGGGCGAGUGGCGAACGGGUGAGUAAUGCAUCGGAACGUAUCCUGGAGUGGGGGAUAACGUAGCGAAAGUUACGCUAAUACCGCAUAUUCUGUGAGCAGGAAAGCGGGGGACCUUCGGGCCUCGCGCUCUUGGAGCGGCCGAUGUCGGAUUAGCUAGUUGGUGAGGUAAAGGCUCACCAAGGCGACGAUCCGUAGCAGGUCUGAGAGGAUGAUCUGCCACACUGGAACUGAGACACGGUCCAGACUCCUACGGGAGGCAGCAGUGGGGAAUUUUGGACAAUGGGGGCAGCCCUGAUCCAGCCAUGCCGCGUGAGUGAAGAAGGCCU
rnacentral:rRNA from 1 species